ACUUACCUCGGUCAUCAGUGUGUCUAUCAUUACAGUGAGGUGGGACAAGAGUGAAAGGGCGGUGCCUGCACUCUGGGCACUGAUAUACAUCAAGAAAAGUGAAGACAUUCCAAGCAGUGCAGCAUGUGUAAACCUAUUCCACCAAGAGAAGAUAAGAGCACACCUCUUCUAAGGAGAAAAGAGAGGAUACAUUUGAAGAGUGGAGAGAACAAUUUCGAGACAUGGACUUCCCCCUGACCAAACACAAACUGACUAUGCAUUGGGAUUGACAAAUGAUGGUGGAUAAAUUGGAUUUAUUUUCUUCAGCCAUCGACUGAGGCCUGUCCCUCACAAAAACAGCAACAUGUCCUUAGUUUAGUUUUGUAGCGUAACCUUAUAGGGAUGGUUUUGAUAAUUAAUUCUUUGAGUAAUUUAAGUUGUGCUUUUCUCUUCCUAUGCUCAAACCAGAGGGGCCUAUCCCUCGAAAAAAAAAAAAUCCAGUAUAUCCAAUGUUUAAUUUUUAGAUAAUGAAGAUGUCAUUGCAAAGCUCAAGGGAAAGAUGAUGUUUGAUGUUUUGUAUUCAAGUGUCUUAAGAAAUUCUGUUAAAAUUUUGUUUAUAAAGUUUGUCCUGAGGGACAAAAAGGAGGGGAGUAUAGUGUAUAGUGUAUAUGUGCUAUAAAGAUGGAAAGUUUAUUUUCCAGU